rnacentral:tRNA from 1 species
CCUGGUGGCUCAGAUGGUAAAGAAUCUGCCUGCAAUGCAGGAGACCCAGGUUCAAUUCCUGGGUCAGGA